UGUCUAAUGGUGUAAUGGUAGCACAACAGGUUUUGGUUCUGUUUGUCGAGGUUCGAAUCCUCGUUAGACAA
rfam:Bacteroidetes oral taxon 274 str. F0058 genomic scaffold supercont1.1, whole genome shotgun sequence.